rnacentral:rRNA from 1 species
AAGGGCAUUUGAUCAGACAUGGUGUUUUUUGCAUGCACUCGCCUCUCGUGGGCUUGGGCCUCUCAAAAAUUUCACUGGGCCAACAUCAAUUUUGGCAGCAGGAUAAAUCAUUAAGAAUGUAGCUACUUCGGUAGUGUUAUAGCUUUUUGGAAUACUGUUAGCCGGGAUUGAGGACUGCGCUUCGGCAAGGAUGUUGGCAUAAUG